AUACGAAGGUCCCGUGCGUUAUUCGGAAUCACUGGGCGUAAAGAGUAUGUAGGCGGUUUGGUAAGUCAGGUGUGAAAUCCCGGAGCUCAACUUCGGAACUGCAUCCGAUACUGCCAGACUAGAGUAAUGGAGAGGCAGGUGGAAUUCUCGGUGUAGCAGUGAAAUGCGUGGAUAUCGAGAGGAAGACCAAUGGCGAAGGCAGCCUGCUGGACAUUUACUGACGCUGAGAUACGAAGGCUAGGGGAGCGAAAGGGAUUAGAAACCCCGGUAGUCC
rnacentral:rRNA from 1 species